AUGAGGGAGAGCCCAGCCAGAAGAACAGGCAUUCCAGUAGCCAGAAUUCAGCAUCUACUGGCAGCCCCGCAGAAACCUUCAGGACUGUCGGAGCCCUGGCCUGGGGGUGUGAGUGAGGAGCACCUCUCCAAUUCACUCCAGACCAGACCAUCCUCCUAUAGAAAGCAGGCUAUCAUCCCAGAGCCCCUCACCUCUGGAGUCCUUGCUGAAGGACAGGACACCCCCCAACCCAAUUCAGGAGGCACACACCUGGCCCUCCCCACAGCAGCUCCAGCCCAGCGAAGACAUCGCCUUCAGAGGGCUCCAGGGAACGAGGUCCUGACCAGGGGGUAUGAGCCAGCCUCCAGAGAGGCGUUCCUACAAAUGCAAACCCCCUCCUGA
rnacentral:lncRNA from 12 species